rnacentral:lncRNA from 1 species
CACUUUGCAAUCACGGCUCACUGCAGCCUCCUCCAGGCUCAAGUGAUCUUCCUGCCUCAUAGUUUUUAUUUUUUUGUAGAGACGGGUCUCACUGUGUUGCCCAGGCUGUCCUUGAACUCCUGGCCUCAGGUGGUCCUCCUGCCUCAGCCUCCAGAAGUGCUGGAAUUACAGACGUGAGCCACUGAGCCUGGCCUGAAAUCCAAUUUUUAAUGUUGCCUCAAAGAUACCGAAAACAUAGUGAGGGACAAAUGGCACGUCUGUUGGACACAUCAGACAGUGGCCAUCGAUUUGCUAGUUUAGCCAUUCACUGGGGUACAAGGUGAAGCCUGAAGUUUUCCAAACUUCAAACUUGAAGUUAAAGUGCUUCUAUCCACUUCCAGGGGUUGGUGCCCCUGUGCCAGACAGAGCAAACGGGAGGUAGCUGCUCUUCAACCCCUUUCUCCUUUUCCUAGGCCCUCUGCAGCCCCACCACACUUGGUCCCCACGCUGACCGGCUAAGGGUGUGUUGAGCCCGCCUGAGGCCCAAGCCUUCCCUCUGCCCAGAGCUGGGGACUCCUGGCCAAUGGGCACUCCAGCUCACAGACCCUCGGUAUUAGGUGGCUCCUUCAUAGACCACGGACAGAGCCUGGGCUGCAGAACAGAACCCACACCCGGGCGCAAACCACAACUCAGGGCUGCUUCCUGGGAUAGCGAAGAAAGGCUUUGGGAGUGGGCGGACCGAGGGCGCAGGGCGCUUCUCCUCCAGGUCCUCGGCUCGGCCACCCCGGUCCGGCAAAUGGCGGAACAGACCCAGCCUGCCCUUCACUGAGCGCCACUGGUUGCUGGUGCCCCUGCCUCGGCCACAGUCGCGAUCUCGGAAAAUCCAGAGCCAGAACUGUAGUUAUACAGAAGACUCCAGUGCUCCAUACCCACCCUGGGUGGCAAGGCCUGCAGUCUAACACCUUCACUUUGUACUUUUGCCUUUGGAUUCUAAUGUGAAGAAGGAAAAGGCCUUCAAUGCAGAAAAUGGUGAAAAAAAAAAUACCUGCCAGGACAUUAUAAGGAGAAACCAAAAAAUAAACUGGCCAUGGUUUUGCAAGGUGGGCAAAGCCAGGAAGAGGAGAUCGGGAGAGAGAGGUCCGAUGUGAAGAUGUGCACAGAGAUGUCUGGAAAAUAAGCCCAGAAAAAAUAGUCUUCAUAACCCAUAUAGGGGAAAGUGGAAAAAAACUUGGGCAGAGUUCUAACGUGGUGUGUCAUCACAAGACACAUGCCAGAGAGAAGCCCUACCAGUGUAAAGAAUGUAGGCCAGGCGCAGUGGCAUCCCAGCACUUUGGGAGGUCAAGGCAGGUGGAUCACGAGGUCAGGAGAUCGAAACCACCCUGGCUAACACGGUGAAACCCCCGUCUCUACUAAAAAUACAAAAAAAAUAUCCGGGCAUGGUGGCAGGUGCCUGUAGUCCUAGCUACUCGAGAGGCUGAGGCAGGAGAAUGGCAUGAACCUGGGAGGCGGAGCUUGCAGUGAGCCAAGAUCGC